rnacentral:misc_RNA from 1 species
GAUGAAGAACGUAGCGAAAUGCGAUAAGUAGUGUGAAUUGCAGAAUUCAGUGAAUCAUCGAAUCUUUGAACGCACAUUGCGCCCUUUGGUAUUCCUUAGGGCAUGCCUGUUCGAGCGUCAUUUACAAAUUCAAGCUCAGCUUGGUGAUGGGUGUCUGUCCCGCCUCUGCGCGUGGACUCGCCUCAAAUGCAGUUGGCAGCUUAUUCCUCGGCUCUAAACGCAGCAGAUUUGCGUCGAGCGUCGUGUGGACGGGCUCUCCAGUAAGCAAACCCCCCAAAAUUGACCUCGGAUCAGGUAGGGAUACCCGCUGAACUUAAGCAUAUCAAUAAGCGGAGGA